AAGCCAACCUUGUCCCAUUUCCCUACCAUGGCCCAGGGUCUUCCUCUCCUCUUCCUCCUGUUCACCUCCUGGACUGGUGCCUUGGCCCAGGGUACACUGACUCAACCACCCGCUGCAUCUACAUCCCCUGGAGAAACAGUGAGGAUCCCCUGUACCAGGAGCAGCGGUAGCAUUACAAGCUACUAUGUGUCCUGGUAUCAACAGAAACCCGGCAGUGUCCCCAAACUGAUGUUAUAUAAAUACAGCGAGAGACCCACAGGAAUCCCAGACCGGUUCACCGGUUCUACGGACAGUUCUGCCAACUCUGCCACCUUAACCAUCUCCAACACUCAAGCAGAGGAUGCGGCUGAUUAUUACUGCUUUUCUUAUGUUGGCAAUGACCAGUGCACAGUGGUGUCUCCAGGUGGGACCGUCACCUUCUCUUGCCGGCAGAGCAGUGGAACUGUCUCUGAUGGCAACUACCCUUGUUGGGCCCAGCAGAGACAGGGGAAUGCUCCACGAGGUCUUAUACACAGCACCAGCACCAGACUACCUGGCAUCCCAGACCGUUUCAGUGGGUCGAGGUCAGGGGACACGAUGUCCCUAACUAUCACGGGGGCCAUGGUUGAAGAUGAAGCUGACUAUUACUGUGUUUCCUGGAUUGGGAGAAUCUUUGGGAAAAAGUCUUUGGGAUUCCUGGUGGAGUUGGUGACCUGUUUAAAUCACUAA